rfam:Beta vulgaris subsp. vulgaris chromosome 5, whole genome shotgun sequence.
ACCUCAUGAUGUGGGCAUUCACUUAACAAAUUACUAAACCGUUCCCAUGCUUCAUAAAAUAAUUCAUUAGGCUUUUGAGAAAAAGUUGUUAUAGCACGUCUCAUAGC